AUAGUUUUUACUCGGAUGGAAAGCAAGACUGUCUCUUACACUACACCAGAAAACUCUUUUCAACAGCUGCAGAAUCAUACUGAUUGGAUGGGGUUUUAAAGAUGCUGAGAUCUUUUCAUACUGCUCAACUGCCAGCCUCCUCACUGCGUUCCAGGAAGAGAGUCUCAAUAAGAAUGCUGCCUCGGGUCGUUUGACUCCAGGCUGAAGAGGGUUAGUCAAAUCAAAGUUUAAACUUUACCAGCCUUUUGGAGUCUGAGAAAGCAAAAGUCAAAAGGCAAGCAAUGCCAUAACUAAUUACGUGAAUUAGAAGGAAUUUAAAGAAGAGAAACCAAACAAGGCAGGAUGUUAACCAUGGAAGAUACAAAAUGAAUAUGGCAUGGCCCUGCCCUCCAAGCUUACCCUCAGUUCAGGGAAAUACAUCAAAUGUUACAUAUGCUGAAGUGUGAAAGGCACCAUAAAAUAAAUAUAAAAAGGAAACAGUAGGUGGACAAAGGGGCAGUGAUCUACUCUGAGCCUAACAAAAACAAUUCAUUACAAUCAUGUAGGGUUGUUCCCUGAAACAACCAACUCUCCUAGGGAAGAGUGAAAUCGAAUCUAAAUUAACAGAUACAGUUGAGUUAAAACACAAGAAUGGGGAUUUUGAAGAAGCAAUCAAAUCACACCAGUCCCAAGAAGGUAAUGAUCUGGUAAGUGUUCUCCAUCUUUAAUUUCUAGGCUAUCAAUUUUACAAAGCAGAGUAGCGGCCAGACGUUACCAUCCCCCACCCUCCAUCUCCACCCCUCCAGCAGAGCUAUCAGGUGAGCUACGUUCAAUCCAAGCUCCGCCCUAAUUAAAUGUGUGACCUGGAGCAACUUCCAUCACUACUCAACGGCCUCCUUUCUGCGCCAAUAAAGCGAGGAACCCUAGCCGAUUCUGAAGUCCAUUUAUGCAGUGAAUUGUGAAAUUGAGAAAAGAAACCAGAAAGGAAACUCAAGAAAAACAAAAGUGAAAGUGCCCAAAGGAAAUACAGUAGUAAACAAAAGUACAAAAUUUUAUAUCUCACUGAAAAACGUGGCAGAGCUCCCAAAUGCUUUUUUUUUUUUUUCCCAGCAACCGUGAACACGAGACUUGGCUAAGAAUGAAACGUCUAUCACGCCCUCCAAAUGUGAAUACGAUCAGUGUAACGCGAAUCCACCUUGCUGCAUACAAGUGUCUUCUUAAACAAUGCUCCCUGGCCUUGAACACCCACUUAUUAAAAAUGUCUUAAAAAGUUAA